rnacentral:rRNA from 1 species
GGAGGAAAGCAGGGGAUCGUAAGACCUUGCGCUUUUGGAGCGGCCGAUGCCUGAUUAGCUAGUUGGUGGGGUAAAGGCUUACCAAGGCAACGAUCAGUAGUUGGUCUGAGAGGACGGCCAGCCACACUGGGACUGAGACACGGCCCAGACUCCUACGGGAGGCAGCAGUGGGGAAUUUUGGACAAUGGGCGCAAGCCUGAUCCAGCAAUGCCGCGUGAGUGAAGAAGGCCUUCGGGUUGUAAAGCUCUUUCAGUCGAGAAGAAAAGAUUGUGACGAAUAAUCACAAUUCAUGACGGUAUCGACAGAAGAAGCACCGGCUAACUACGUGCCAGCAGCCGCGGUAAUACGUAGGGUGCAAGCGUUAAUCGGAAUUACUGGGCGUAAAGGGUGCGCAGGCGGCUUUGUAAGUCGGAUGUGAAAUCCCCGGGCUUAACCUGGGAAU